rnacentral:rRNA from 1 species
GUAGCCGGCCUGAGAGGGUGACCGGCCACACUGGAACUGAGACACGGUCCAGACUCCUACGGGAGGCAGCAGUGGGGAAUAUUGCACAAUGGGCGCAAGCCUGAUGCAGCAACGCCGCGUGAGGGAUGAAGGCCUUCGGGUUGUAAACCUCUUUUAGCAGGGAAGAAGCGAAAGUGACGGUACCUGCAGAAAAAGCACCGGCUAACUACGUGCCAGCAGCCGCGGUAAUACGUAGGGUGCAAGCGUUGUCCGGAAUUAUUGGGCGUAAAGAGCUCGUAGGCGGUUUGUCACGUCUGCUGUGAAAUUCCGAGGCUCAACCUCGGACUUGCAGUGGGUACGGGCAGGCUAGAGUGCGGUAGGGGAGAUGGGAAUUCCUGGUGUAGCGGUGGAAUGCGCAGAUAUCAGGAGGAACACCAAUGGCGAAGGCACAUCUCUGGGCCGUAACUGACGCUGAGGAGCGAAAGCGUGGGGAGCGAACAGGAUUAGAUACCCUGGUAGUCCACGCCGUAAACGGUGGGUGCUAGCUGUGGGCCACAUUCCACGUGGUCCGUGACGAAGUUAACACAUUAAGCACCCCGCCUGGGGAGUACGGCCGCAAGGCUAAAACUCAAAGGAAUUGACGGGGGCCCGCACAAGCGGCGGAGCAUGCGGAUUAAUUCGAUGCAACGCGAAGAACCUUACCAAGGCUUGACAUAUAGAGGAAAAGUGCAGAAAUGUACU